rnacentral:tRNA from 1 species
GUUUUAAUAGUUUAAAUAAAACAUUGGUCUUGUAAAUCAAAAUUAAGAAUCUAUCUUUUAAAACU